GGCCAUAUCACGUUGAAACACCGGUUCUCAUACAAUCACCGAAGUUAAGCAACGUUGAACCUGGUCAGUACUCCAAUGGGUGACCGCUUGAAAAUACCAGGUGCUGUAAG